rnacentral:rRNA from 1 species
CCUACGGGUGGCAGCAGUCGAGAAUCAUUCACAAUGGGGGAAACCCUGAUGGUGCGACGCCGCGUGGGGGAAUGAAGGUCUUCGGAUUGUAAACCCCUGUCAUGUGGGAGCAAAUUAAAAAGAUAGUACCACAAGAGGAAGAGACGGCUAACUCUGUGCCAGCAGCCGCGGUAAUACAGAGGUCUCAAGCGUUGUUCGGAAUCACUGGGCGUAAGGCGUGCGUAGGCUGUUUCGUAAGUCGUGUGUGAAAGGCGCGGGCUCAACCCGCGGACGGCACAUGAUACUGCGAGACUAGAGUAAUGGAGGAGGAACCGGAAUUCUCGGUGUAGCAGUGAAAUGCGUAGAUAUCGAGAGGAACACUCGUGGCGAAGGCGGGUUCCUGGACAUUAACUGACGCUGAGGCACGAAGGCCAGGGGAGCGAAAGGGAUUAGAUACCCCUGUAGUC